rnacentral:lncRNA from 1 species
AAAACUGAGACACAAACCUAUGUGUCCAAAGUGGCACAGGUAGGGAGUGUGAAGCCCCCAGGACAGCAGAAGGCCUUUCCACCCUGUCCAACCCACCUGUACCCCGGGCCCUGAGGCCAGUUCUUCCCAGAGAAAUAAGCUUCUUUCAGUCUUUUUCUCACUGACCACAAAGACUCAGCUCUGUCCUCGGAAAUAUUUGGAAAGUUUUAUUUAAAUGUUUUGUGUUCCCUUUUAACCACCACCAAAAAGAGAAAAAAAAAUUUUUUUUUGCCGUUCCAAACAGGAGAGUCGCUUCAGAGAGGAGCUGGCGUGUAAGUGGGUUUGGCCCUUGGGGAAG